rnacentral:other from 1 species
ACUUCCUCGGGCUGGAACGAAAAGCAAGUUAAGACGCGGAGUUUUAGCAGGCUUUUGGCUUGUGGUCGUGAUGUUGUGUUUGCAAUUUGAUCUGACCUUUUUCAGAUCUGACUAAAUUCCUGUAGAUUAACCCUGUCUGUCCAUAGUAAUUUUAAUAGCACCGCCAAUGCGGUGCUUUUUUUU